ACGAACGCUGGCGGCAUGCCUAACACAUGCAAGUCGAACGAGACCUUCGGGUCUAGUGGCGCACGGGUGCGUAACGCGUGGGAAUCUGCCCUUGGGUUCGGAAUAACUCCCCGAAAGGGGUGCUAAUACCGGAUGAUGUCGCAAGACCAAAGAUUUAUCGCCCAAGGAUGAGCCCGCGUAGGAUUAGGUAGUUGGUGAGGUAAAGGCUCACCAAGCCGACGAUCCUUAGCUGGUCUGAGAGGAUGAUCAGCCACACUGGGACUGAGACACGGCCCAGACUCCUACGGGAGGCAGCAGUGGGGAAUAUUGGACAAUGGGCGAAAGCCUGAUCCAGCAAUGCCGCGUGAGUGAUGAAGGCCCUAGGGUUGUAAAGCUCUUUUACCCGGGAUGAUAAUGACAGUACCGGGAGAAUAAGCCCCGGCUAACUCC
rnacentral:rRNA from 1 species